UGAUCAUGUACCUUGUAACAACACUUAUGGUUUUACUGCUUGUGGGUCUUUUUACCAUAGUAUUCUGCAUGAUGACAAAUAAUCCAGAAAAGGAUCAGAUUAACAGCACCAUAAAUACUAUGCCCUCUGAAAACCAAAUGACAUCUAUCAGUCCUGCAGAAGCUGAUGUAAGUCCUCAUCCUUCAUUCUGUCUGCUUUACAACUCUCAGAAGACACUGACAUGCUGAACUUAGAUCAGUGAUGGUCAGUUGUGUUUGUUCACAGUCUUCUGCUGACGAUGCUUCAGUGCUUUACAGUCCUGUCUCCUUUACUAAGACAGUAAGUGUCUCUGAGAUUUUCAACACUGUGAUGUGUGUCAGUAGUUCUGGCUGGAAUUGUCUG